rnacentral:rRNA from 1 species
AUUGAACGCUGGCGGCAGGCCUAACACAUGCAAGUCGAACGAGUGGCGGACUGGUGAGUAAUGUCUGGGAAACUGCCAGAUGGAGGGGGAUAACUACUGGAAACGGUAGCUAAUACCGCAUACCAUCGGAUGUGCCCAGAUGGGAUUAGCUAGUAGGUGGGGUAACGGCCAACAUAGGCGACGAUCCCUAGCUGGUCUGAGAGGAGGACCAGCCACACUGGAACUGAGACACGGUCCAGACUCCUACGGGAGGCAGCAGUGGGGAAUAUUGUACAAUGGGCGAAAGCCUGAUGCAGCCAUGCCGCGUGUAUGAAGAAGGCCUUCGGGUUGUAAAGUACUUUCAGCGAGGAGGCGUUACUCGCAGAAGAAGCACCGGCUAACUCCGUGCCAGCAGCCGCGGUAAUAC